AAUCUGCUCCAUAGGAUCUGGCGUCUUAUUUGGCCACGUCGCUGGCCGUUCUCUUCCGUUGGAUGUUGAUCGGACCAUCCACAGUUGCAGGCAAAUUACCUAGCGUUUCUAGACACUUCGUCCCGACUCCUGAGUGUGCGCCGCUGCCGCCGUUGUCCACCUACCCCCUCGCCGGCGCACGAGGAGCUCUCCCAAUCCUCCUCACAAGGGCCAUGGACCCAAUCUCGUCUCGCUUUCAUCACUCUCUCCAGCUAGUGCCAUCCGCACUGGAAUCUUUUUCUCCCAUCUAGCUGACGCUCCUCCCCACUCAUCCACAAGCACCUUCCAUUCCCCCAGCAGUUGCCGGUCGAUAUUCUCCUGCCAGCUGCAAGGUCCGUCGUCCUCCACACCUGGCUGGUGAUUCGUGAAGGAGCCGUGGUGUCUGCGCCAGCGCAGCUCAAGGCUCUCGCGUCGAAGAAGGUGAGCCGCACCAGCCUGCACUGCAAAUAGCGGCCCUUGGGGCCUCUGUCACCACAGAGCACGAUUGGUAGUGCCCCUACAGCCAGAGCGGUGGUCAACAUGUACGACACCCAACAACUGCUUGAGGAAAUGCCCCCAAAGGCUCUAAGGUAAAGGUGCUCACUGAAAGUUGGUGUUCGGAGGAGUUGUAGCCCAGUAGGACCUGCCAAACAUAAAAAUACGACUUCGAUUCAAGAAGGGAUCACAUAAGUUUGUUGUGAAAAUUAUGGUUCACUUUGACCCAUCUUUUCUAUCUAAAACUACAUAUAUAAUUUUCAAUUUAUCCCUAAUGCUUCAUAAUUUAUCCCAAGCUACUGUAAAAUUCUUUUAUAUGUUCAAUACAAAAUUGCUGGCUAUUCCUGCAUGUUCAGUCCUCGUGCUAACUCUUGCUCUCAAGUUUAAUUUAUGCUAUCUUUGCAUUUUAAUUCUGUACAAACUACAUAUAUUUCGUAUGCAUUCUUGAUUGCCUUUUUGGCAGGUUGUCUCGGGUGUGAUGAGGAUUUUAAAUCAAAUUAGCUCUCCACUUGUCAGUAUCUAGCAAACUUUCUCAUGUGCAUAAGCAGAUGCUAGGUUAAAAUUUCAUGUGUAAGAGCCAAUUUUGUACUUGAAAGUGAGUUUCUUAUACUGAUGUUUUUUGCCCAUGGCUAGAAGUGCCUUGAUUGGUUCAAAGCAACUGGUUAGUCAGUGCCAUAUAUCAGCUUGAUUGCCGAUCCGCUUGGCUGCAGCAUCUAAUGUGGCACCCAUUUGGUUGUGUCGUCAUGAAAUUAUCUGCAGGCUUUUGAACAGGCUGUGGCCCAUGCAUAGAUUGUUGUUCCAUUUCUUUGUCUGUGAGUUAAGGGAUUGUAGUUGACAAGUGGUUUGCAGUUUCCACAAAUCAUGAGCUCAACCACUUCACGAUGAAUUAUUAGUUUUUUUAUCAACCAAUUGUGCACCAUGGAGAAUACCAAAUCGGUUAGUGUACUGCUUUCUUAGGAUUUGACUAACACAUGUUGAGUAUUUACAAGCAGCCAAAUAUUGCCAAAGCCACCAAGGUCAAGCUUGAGUUCUUGCCACAUCAAAUUGGAGGUAUUGGGCUUACUGUCAUAUAGCAUUGCCAAACUUGAACUUGGGAAAUCAGCCUUUUCUGGUCGGAGUAGCCUUUUGAAUAUUGCAUCUAUUAUUUCUAUGCAUAAGGUAUUAAUUGUCAACCUUAGUUUUUGGCACAGGAAAUGAUCAAUAUCAGCUUGAGAACCUCAAUGCCCACAAUGAGGGUUUUGGUUCUUGACUCCAGAUGACCUAAUUUGAACUCAGUUGUCGGCUUCCCUGCUCGCAAAAGCUGUCCUCACCAUGGAAGAAUAUGGAAAACAGUCGAGAACUAGAACAGCAAGUGGCAUGAUGUUGACUUCGCCAAUAAAACUUAAUGAAACAAUAUAGCUUCUUGAGAUGCUCAAUUGAAAUUCCAAAGUGUGUAUCAGAGUACUUUUGCAGGAAAUAGGCAUACUCGUGACUUCUGGAUGGUUGAUCCCCUAUAACAGCUUCUUAUGUAAAUGCUGCUUGAGGAUUUCAUGCCCUUCCAUAAGAUUGUCAUGGCAUUUGCUCAAAGCUAAAAUUUUAUACGCGUUACAUUUAUAGU